rnacentral:lncRNA from 14 species
AUAGUGAGGUCAACGUUUGCCUUUUUCUUUCUGAAAGAAAACAGAUACACGGAGAGUUCUCUUGUGAGCAGGGGGUGGCCUGCACUGCUUCAUCCUCAGCUCAAAAAAAGUUCAUUACUUCAGGGCUGGGUGGCAGGUUUGGGCUCUGCUGAAUCACACAGCCCGAGAUGGAGAAAUUUUGCCCAUUCUUGGAUUACGGCAGAGAUUCUGGGUGAAUUCAGAACCCGUGGUGAAAAUGGAGGGAAUGUGGGGAAUGCACAGCCAGCACCAUCCUCUCCUGUGCUCCCACAGCGAGGGGACGCCCAGUGCCAGCGUGGCAUUCCUCAGCCUUCCCUGCGGCUGCCGAGACCCUCUUUCCUGGCGGGAUGGGAUUUCUCCCAGGAGCAGGACAGAGCUGCAGGGCACAGGACUGCAGGCAAAAGGCCAUUUCCGUGUCACCAGAGGGAUGUGGCACUUGCUUAAGGCAGCAGAAGGAGGGUCGGGCUGCGCUGUGCAGGGAGAGCUCUCGUUCCUGCGCUGGGAUGGUGCCCAUGGUCCUGCAGGCUCCCAGGCUGAGCCACAGCGGGGCUGGAGGAUUUCACUCCCUUAUCCCCCUUUUCUUUUUCCUCAUUCUCUGAAAGCUUUUCCCGCAGCUUCACUGUGACCACCUCUUGCAAACUGGAGGCAGUUGGGGGAUUUUUUUAAUGCUUUUCUUCAAAAACCCAGAGCCAGCUCAUGGGGCAGUCUGUAUCCCUAUCCACUCACCCCACUGCAGCCUACCCCCCAUGCACCCCCUUCUCCCAUGCCAUAACCUUCCCCCCGAUUUUUUUUGCCAACCAGGAGGCUGCAGGACCCCAAAAUCCCCCCUCACCCUGCUGCAUCUCAGCUCGGUCUCCACCCUGCCGGCCCGGGGUCCCCCGGGUCCCCCCCUUACCUGCGGGGUCGGGACACGGCUUUGCUCGGCUCCCUGUGCACCUCCCGGUCCUGCGGAGGGGGUAUAUAAGGGGCCGGGGAGAAACUUCUGGAAACUUGGGAAAACCCUCUCAAAAAUGCUGGGGAGGGAGAGGAAGGGGAGGAUCCGUCCCGGCUCUCUCCCGGCCCGCCGCCAAUGGCAGGGAAUGCCGGCCCCGCGCCGCCGAAGGGGGGUCGGGAUGGAUGGGGGAUGCGCCUUCCCUCCUCCUGCCCUGCCUGAGCCCAGCCCGGCCUCCUGCAGGAACGUGGGGAGCUAUUCCCUGCCCAAACUCUGCUUUUGCCUUCUUACAGGGCUCGGGUCUGUCUUUAUUUCCAUCCUCUCCCUGCCCCUGGCAUCUCCUGCAGCUGGAUGGCUGUUGGCACCAAAGGCAGCCUGGUAAGAGCCACAAAAAACCCUUGCAGAGCUUUAGGAUGUGAAUACGCAGAAAACGAGUCAGUUCUACCAAAAUGCCAGCAAACAGCUUUAUCCUUGUCCUGCUUUGAAAAGGAAGUAAGUUUUUUGGGAGGCUGUGGUGAACAGUGACUGUGAACAGUUCUGUCCAGGGCCAGAGUUCUGGGAAUCAGGCUGAUCUGCAUUGCUGGGGAGGAUUCCUGCUGCUCUCCAGCGAUUCCAAGCUGUGCAGAGGCGCUCCCAGCCCCCACAGUGCCACGUAGGAGCUCCUCCAGCGGUGGGAUGGGGACUGGGAAGGGGGAGCCAAACUGGGAGUUGCCGUCUUCCGUCUCCCCUGGUCAUGUAAUGAGCGGUUCCAGCUGCCAGAGGGACACAUCCUCGCCUCCCGGCCAGCUCCUCCCCUCCAAACCGCACUUGCGCAGGGCAGAGC